AGCAGAGAUUGUGCUGGAAGCCACCGGCUGUGCGUGGGAGAGAGCCUCGCGGCGGACGGCUAUGAAAUAGAGUCACGGACAGAUCCCGCUGAGAGCAACCGCUCGCGCUGCCGUACCUGGGGAUUGCAUCUGCUCGGGAGGACCACCAGGUCAUUGGAUUGAACGUAAACGCCAGAAAUAGUUGCAGUUCCCAGUUUACCUGCCCUCUGGCCCUUUAAAUUGAGGUGGGAAAGGAAGAGAAGGUGUUUCUGCUGGGGUGGCUGUUUGCCACCUGGUUCCUGUAGGCUUGCAUCCCUUCUAACUGGUAAGUUUGGGGGGUUUCUGGUAUUUUUCAUGAUUGCUC
ensembl:lncRNA